rnacentral:lncRNA from 1 species
CAGGAGGCUGAAGCACGAGAAUCGCUUGAACCCAGGAGGCAGAGGUUGCAGUAAGCCAAGACUGCACCACUGCUCUCCAGCCUGGGUGACAGAGUGAGACUCCGUCUCAAAAAAAGAAAAAAAAAAUUUUUUUUUUUGAAUAGGGAAUACUUUCGUGUGUUUCAGACUAAAAAAUUGAUUUUAUAUGUAUUUAUAAUUACACACAUAUACGUAUGCAGUAAAGUUUCAUUUUUACUUGUCCUUCAGCCACCAUUUCCUUUCCUCUUACACACUAAUAUUUUCAGUUUCUUAUUUAUCCUUCCAGUUAUUUUAUGGACAUACCAGUAAAUACACACAUAUAUUAAUAUAUCCAGUAUUUUCCCCAUCUCUUUUUUGCACAACCCCUUAAAUAUACUUAAAAUAAAACAGAACAACAAAUUUUUCGUAAACAAAAUUUAAUACAACCAUAUAGUCAAGUAAUAAUGGUUAAAAGACAUUUUAUUAGAUACAACUUUUAAAAAAUUAAACUAUGCAAGAAGUAUAUUUAAACAAAACAUGUAAGUAAGUAUUCACGUGCUACAACUUAACUAAGAACAAUUAAAUACAAAGCAUUCUUUCCACUAUGAAGACUCUGGAGCCUCUAAUUGAAAGCAAAUGACCUUAGGUCUAUACUAGUUGUAAAGCAGAUUAUACUUUUGUUCAACUCUAAAUUUGUAUUGUCUUAGAGCUCCAACAACUCUCAAUAAAAAUUUAAAUAAAGAAACCUUGGGGGAGGGGUGAUAGGGAAGGGGAGAUUUAUUUACUCUAUAGGAAACAAAUAUGAACCUUAUCUAAGGUAAGCUUCAUUUAGAUUGAAAAAAAAGUUGAAAUAGCACUAGAGAACUUAAGGCACAUAAACAAAUUCAGGUGCAGUUAUUUUGAAACCAUUAAAACAAAUUCUUUUCUUUGGAACAAUAUAUAAAAUAAGUUAUGAAUGUUGCUGUUUUUAUCAGCACUAGGAAAAUUUAAUAUCUAAGGCAAUCACACAAAUGUAAAAUGUUCAUAUAAAACAUUAAAAAAUGUCUAAAGUGUCUCUGGAAUUAUUCAUUCACACUCCUGGCUCAAAUGGUUUCUGGUGCCUAGCAUUAGAUGUGACAAUAAUGAUAGCUAGCUAGUCAAACCUACUGCCUUAAAGAUCAACCAAUUUGCUCCAUUCUGGUUACUUGGCAUGGUAAAUUUAUUUAACUAAAAAGAAUAAUGGGGUGAGGUGAUGUAAACCUGGCUUUCAAUAAGAUGCACAACAAAUUCUAAUAAGGCCAAAACUCUGUUGAGGUUAACUGGUGUCUUGAGUUUACUAAAAUAAAGGCAGUCCAUAGGAAGCCUCAAAGAGACAUUAUCUUACCACUUGGCACCACAAAAACACCAAGCUCUCCUCUCUGAAAAUACAGGCCGGGGGUGGUGGCUCACGCCUGUAAUCCCAGCACUUUGGGAGGCCGAGGUGGGCGGAUCACGUGGUCAGGAGUGAUCCGUCUCUACUAAACCCCGUCUCUACUAAAAAUACAAAAAAAUUAGCCGGGUGUGGUGGCACGCACCUGUGGUCUCAGCUACUCGGGAGGCUGAGGCAGAAUCCCUUGAACCCGGGAGGUGGAGGUUGCAGUCAGCUGAGAUCGCGCCACUGCACUCCAGCCUGGGCGACAGAGCAAGACCCCGUUCUCCCCCCUUCCCCAAAAAAAAAAAAAAACGAAAAAAAUACAGUUUGAAGUAGAUGUCGUCUUUUCCACAUAUAAAUCUCAAGACAUAAAAGGCACACACAAUUCAACUCCUCUCUUUUCAUAUAUGGGUUCUCACAGCAAUUUAAAAAAUCUAUUGCCAUAUCCAGACAACAGGAGAAAAAAAAAAUACCUGGUUUGCUUAUUGACAAAAGUGGUGUAAUUGAACCUUUGUCUUUCCUGAGUUUCAAAAAGGCUAUUUGACAGUAGAGAUACAUAAACAAUUCAUAUUCAGUAAGAUAAAAUGUAUCAGUCCACAAAACAUUUUCAUCUUUUUAAGUAUAAAAGAAUCAAUGUUCAACCACCACCAUGUGUGAAGCCCCUUUUUCCAAAUUAAACUUACUCUAGAAUCAUGAAUUGAAGAUUAUUCAGUCAUGGCACUUUACACCCCAAACGAGCAAAAGUAACAAGUUAAUACCCUCCCUGAGUAUUUACAUCAUCUUAUCACCUGGUUUAAAUGGAGUAAAUACCUAUAUUUCAAUCAUCUAGGAAAUAAAAAGGUUACUGAAGAUCCAAUACACUAGUAUUUCAUACCUGUGCAGUAAAGUCAGUGGGAAGAUUACAGUAGAAAAGGAGGAAGUUCUACUGUUGUAAAAAUUAGACCACUUUUGUAGCUGACUCACAUAGAGGAAAAACAGAAAAUGAUUAAAGUUCAUGAAAAAAAAACUAUACUUUUCUGUUCUACAAAGCAUACCUUUGAAUUCCCUUUCCAACUGAGGUAUCACAGCUGGGUUUAGCAAACUCAUCUCUUCUGACCUUGUAAAACUAAAUUGUCAUAAAGAUUCUGAUUAUACAUAAGUCAUCGUUACUAAUACUCAUCAUGUACUUUCAAAUGUAAAAAGUUCUAGAAAUGCCCAAAUAAAAAAAAAUUCCAGAAUUGAAUUUAGCAUGGUCAACUAAUUUUUACUUUAUGUGCUUUUUUGCUGAUCAUCACAGACUGCUAAAAUUCAUGGUGUUUGGUAUAUAUGUGUGUAUACAACCAUACUAUCUACAUACAUACACAUGUACAUAUAUAGAUUCUAAACCAAAGGUUCAUAUGAGCAUCACCUAUCAAAAGAAAAAUCUUUAUGUGAUGAGAGAAUGAAUACAAUCUGACACCAAUUUGGUUGAUAUACCCCUUUUGAUAUAUUAAUUCUACUCUAAAAUUCUUUUUUAUUUUAUCAAGUCUAAUGCUAUUAUUUAUCAAGAAUUAGUAAAGGAAGAUAAAUAUUAAAAAAUUAAAAUAUUAAGUUGGGUAACUUUAAAAAUAGUUAUUUAAAUUUUCUAAGAUUCAACCUAAGUUCUUGGUGGCCUUCAAUAUAAAUUUUAAGUACUUAAUUUAUGUAGUUUUAAAUUAUGUAGAGAAAAAAUUAAUAUUGGUGUGAGGUCUGUGUUUAAAAAAAUUCUGUUUUUCAGGAUUUCAUUUCAAAUUUACUAUAAUAAACACAUGGAUAUUAAAAUAAAUGUAUAACAAAAUAAAAGUAAAUAGUUAAUACUUUUUACAACAGAAAAAUACUAGAAUAUAAAGUUGUCUUGAGAAAGUCUUUUUUUAUGUGAAGUCCUAUAUUCAUGAAAUGGACAUGAUCUUACAAAUACACAUGAAAAUAACAACUAUCAUUUGUAGAAUCCUCAGCAUUUACAAAAUACUUUUUCACACAUUAUCUCAUUUACUGUAAAGAAUUUCUUAACUAAAUAAUUCUAUUAUCUAUAAGAGUAUAAUGCAGAUGUUUACUCUAAAAUUAAAGUACAAGUAUCCAAACUGUACCUACAUUCUUUCAACUAAGAGGAUAGAAAAUUGUUUUCUGAAUUGUUGUUAUCACAAAAUGGUAUCUAUCAUUUUAAAAUUAUGAUUUGAAAAAUAAAAAUUCCCUAAAAAUUUUUAAGUUUUUUAGAGUUUUCCUCAGAAUGUAGAUUCUAGCUAAGCAUUAAAGUUUAAAAAAUGUCUAUCUGAAAUCUCUGAAUCAUUCUAAAAUGAGAAAACAAUGUAGCUUACCAAUGUUAGGCUUUUUAUUUCAACCUUGGUUUUAACAGAAAUCUGGUGACACUUUAAUUACAUAU